GAGAAAUGCACAAAUCAGCCUGUCUAAAAAACCCUGCUGCUGUUGCUGACACAAGUUUUGGGGUGCCAUUCUGGUGUAGCACAGUCCCUUCCCUGUGCCAAGCAGUCCUCAUGCACAUCUAACACGGCACAGCCUAGGUGGAAGGCUCUCCCAAGACACAGACCUUCAUAUGGGCAUGUACCACCCUCCUCUCCCUCCUCUGUGGGACAGAGGGAUACCAUGGCUUGUCCAGAGCAAAGCAACACACCCCAUUUAUAAGCCUUUCUUCAGUGGUUUGCUCAAGUCUGUAAAUCCAUUUCAGUGUUCUAUGUUAGAGCAAGCCAGCCACUGGUCUAAAUCACACCAGCAGGAUGAAUCUGCUGGAACAGGGUUGGAAUAGUAUCAAAGCUGACCAUCAAACCUCUCCUUCAUGUGAAAAAGUAAAUGUGUGUGCAUGCACCCAUGUGGACACACGCGCACAUGUACACACACACAUGCACACAUUUCUUAGGCCUUGCAGACAAUCAGCCAGCACUUGGGUUUUGGCUGGUGGGGCUUGGUAGGAGACCAGUGAAAGUUCUUAUGGCUGAGAUGAAAACCAUGUAUGAUGCUACAGCUGGAAAAGCUGUUUGGAGAAGCCUGCUCCCAGAAUAGUACAGUUUCUCUAACAUAGCUACAAGCAACACAUCGGGCUCCAAACAGCUUCUUUUUUAAGCUUGGAUCUAAGGCGGUGGAGGCAGGGACAAGGAGUGGAGGGCUGACAGUGGCAAGCAGGCAUUGGUUUGAAGGAAAAGUAUAAAUCAACUAAACGCUUAAAGACUUACAGCAUAAAGUCUUGGCAAUCUUGUCACUUUCCCCAGACCACUCCAAGGAACAUGAUGAUUUCAGGAUUCUGAUAUUUUUAAGAAUAGAGAAACAGCACAACACUGAAGGUUACAGCAUGGCACUUGGUAACAGAAUAGUAAUAAAUGUGACCCUAUCUGGAUAUAUAUGAAAUAAUUGCAUUUUUUGAAGGGUUGCAGUUGCUCCCGCAUAAUCACAUACCCCAGC
rnacentral:lncRNA from 1 species